UAGAGACUCAGAGCUGCAUAUCAAUAAGCGGAGGAAAAGAAACUAACUAGGAUUCCCAUUAGUAACGGCGAGUGAAGCGGGAAGAGCUCAAAUUUGAAAUCUUCAAGGUUUACCUUGACGAAUUGUAGUUUAUAGAAGUGUUUUCUGUAGUGGAGUUUGGUAAAAGUUCUUUGGAAUAGGACAUCAUAGAGGGUGAGAAUCCCGUAUUUGAUCAUUAUUCCCUAGCUGUGUGAUACACUUUCAAAGAGUCGGAUUGUUUGGGAAUGCAGUCCAAAAUGGGUGGUAAAUUUCAUCUAAAGCUAAAUAUUGGCGAGAGACCGAUAGCGAACAAGUACCGUGAGGGAAAGAUGAAAAGAACUUUGAAAAGAGAGUUAAACAGUACGUGAAAUUGUCAAAAGGGAAGCGUUUGACACCAGUGUUGUUUUCUCGAAAAUCAAUUACAAAUGACCUGGAUUUUGUGUUGUAUUGACUUUAUCAGCUUUCUGCACUUUUUUCUUAUCUUUUUUAAUGCACUUUUCGUUUAACAAGUCAACAUCAAUUUCUUUUGCUGUAAAAGGGUCAUUGGAAGGUGGCUUUCAUUUCGGUAGAAAGUGUUUAUAGCCUUUUACCUUCUGCAAUCGGAGAGAUUGAGGUCUGCAGCGUAGAUCCUUCGGGGUUAGAUACAUUUGUGCUAAGUUAUAGUUUUUCAUAGACAACAUGUUGACUAUGAUUAGUCAUGUAGCUUACUCGCUUAUGCUAUUUUACCUACGCUUAGGAUGUUGAUAGUCACAGCGUGUAC
rnacentral:rRNA from 1 species